rnacentral:tRNA from 1 species
GAGGGUGUAGCUCAGUGAUAGAGCCCAUGCCUAGCAUACACAAGGUCCUGGGUUCAAGCUCCAGUACCUCCA